ensembl:lncRNA
GACAGGUCUACCAUCAGAGGAGAUAGUUGGAUGGCAUCACCGAAUCAAUGGACAUGAAUUUGAGCAAACUGCAGGAGAUAGUGAAAGAUAGGGAAGCCUGGGGUGCUGCAGUCCAAGGGGUGGCAAAAAGUCAGACACAACUGAGUGACUGAACAACAACCAUCAGAUUUCCUUCCUCUGAAUCCUCCUCAACACAGUGCCGCAUCCAGAGCUAUUAUCUACCAACUGGAUCUGACAGAAGGGUUAAUAGCUGCCCUGUGGUUCCAAUCCCAGACUCAGGAGUCUGAGCCUCAGUGAUUCCUCUCCAGGGCAUUGAAGAGCCUCCACCAGAUUCUACAGCUUGGAGAGAGAAGUGGGCCAGUUCUCCCGAUCCAGACCCCAGGCUCUUUUUCCUGACAUCAGACUUAUUACAUAGGGUGACACCCAAGCCUUCCUGUCUUCCCACUCCCUAUGAAUCAUUGCUGGUUGCUGCCAAGAACCAGGUUUCACAGCUGCUGUGCUUGCAGCCCUGGCACUGGCUUCUGAGGACAGCUGCUGCUGCUGCUGCUGCUGCAGGGCGCACCCUGCCCCCAGGACAGCUGGUCUGUGUGCCGGGAAAGCACGGAGUGGUGCUGAGGUACAGGUCUGACACUCGCUGGAUGCCAGGAAGAGAAAAUGAAUGUAUACAUUGGCUCGCUGCUCGAAGGGGAAACUGAGGCCCAGGUGGGGGAACCCAGUGAGCUGGUUGCUCAUACAGAAUGCAGACUAUCAAGUGCCCAAGGCUUGCCCUCCCGUAGCUUCAUGGAUACGGGGAGGCGGGCGAGUCCCUGCCCUUUCCUACUCUGCAUGAACCUUUCUCAGCUCACUGGCUGGGCUGCCCUACUAAUUGGAUGGAGCAACUGGGCCAGACUGGGGAAGUGGGCGGUGAGGAGCAGAACGCAGCCUGCCUCUUCCGGGCGCCCAGGCCAGUCCUACAGCGACUUUGCUGAGCUGGCGGCCCACGCCCGGGUGCACAAUGAUGCUGACACAGACACACCCGGGAGCCUGAGGGUAUGUGUGUGUGUGUGUUGGGGGAGGGGGAACCUAGGCGCGUCCACCCCACCCACUGCCUCUGCUAUGGAGUCAUUAUCCCUCGGGGUAGAGGGAAACACCGAGAGGCCGAGUUGCCAAUGGCCACUCCAGGUGUCCAAGCCCCUCCCACCAGACCCAGGAGCUCCCCAGGAGGGCUCGUUUGCUCUCACGGGCUGCCCUGGGCGUGUCCCUCCAGUGAGACAGGGCCACCUGGUUCCCAGCCUUGGGCUCCCAGAGAUAGCCCACUCGCUUCUUUACUAGUUACUCAGUGCAGCAAAGUGGGAAGCACAGAGAAGCAGAAAGAAAGCAAAACCACCUGCGGCACCAACCAGUGAUCAGCCCCACUCCCCAAAUAGGCCCAUUCACUCUGCUGUUGCCGGAGUCUAAAUGGAUUCCUCCCCGUCCACCUUCUCCAGGACUGAACCUCUCCUUCCUGACCUCUCUGGGCAGCCUCACCCAGUCCACCAGCCACUGUCACUUGAACCCAGAUUGUCCCCACCUCAAGGAUAGGCCUCUGUGGCCUCCCUCCUGUUUUGUCCCUUCCCCCAUUAUGCCUGCCUCCAUGAUGGCCCAGGGGCCCUGUAGGGCCGUAGGGUCUAAGAUCUCAUUUCUAAGUGAGAUGACUGGGUCAGCCACUCUUCUGCUGUGAAACCUGCCCUGGGUCCCAGGCAGACAAGAGAAGUUCUCAGAUAGAUUAGCUUGGCCUUCAAGGCUCCACCAAUCCUGCCUAAGGCCACCCCAGCCAUUAUUCCUUCCCUCUAUAGGAAUGGUUAGUUUCCUUUUUGUGCUGGCUUCCCCUGAUGUUUUGUGAUCUAAGUGAGCAGGAGCUGAGUCCACUUUAUUUCUAUGUCCCCAGUGCUUAGUUGAGGGCCUGGCACGGUUGUGGCCUCUCAGUAAAUGUUCACCGGAAGGAACGUAACUGGUUGGGGUUAGUAAUAAUAAGAAGCUUUUAGUCAGCAUGUAUUAUGUCCAGGCAUUGUGCUGUAUGCAUUACAAGAAUUGCUCGUUGUCCUUAGAACUACUUUCCAAGAUGAUGGUAUUAUUUUCUUUACUUAUUUAUAUUUUGGCUGCCCAGCUUGUGGGAUCUUAGUUCCCCCACCAGGAUUUGAACCCAGGCCCUUGACAGUGACAGCACAGAGUCCUAACCACUGGACUACCAGGGAAUUCCCCAAGGUGAUACUAUUAUAAUAUUCAUUUUCCAGAUGAGAGAACUGAGGCUGAGAGAUACUAAGUGAUUUGAUCAAAGUUACAUUCAGGAUUCCACCCAAGCCCAUGACCUGCUGUCCUAGACUGUUGAGUUUGUCUGCUCCUGCCUUGUAAGCACAUUGGCUUCCUACUCCCUUUUCCCACACUCCUUCGUCUGGGCCCAAAGGCUCUUCCAUUCCGCCUUCUCUUCAGGCUCAGCCCCAGGGCCUCGGCAGUGCAGGGUAAGGCUCUGAGGAAUGGUUCUGUAGCGAACAGGAACACCUCUGUCAGAGGUCUCGACAAGAUCCAACAGGUCAAUUUUAGGUCCUGAAACAAGUUUCCAACAUGAGCUUGAACUGAUGCAGCACUGGAGAGAUCUGGCGUGGGAAUCUCAGUCCAGGCACAAUUCCAGACUCUGUGUGACUCUGGGCAAUGAGUUUAGCCACGCUGGGCCUCAGCUUCCACAUUUGUACAAUGGGCAUGAGAAUAUACACUUCACAGUGUCUGGGAAGAUGAUCUGUAAGCUGGCACGGGAAGGCACUUCAUAAACUACAAAACUGCUAAUGGAGGAUGAGGGGAUAGUGUUGCCUUGUGAGACUGGGAUUGUCAGUGGCCUAGUUUAGAGGCUGGGAGAAGGGAGAGGCAGGCCAGAUGCUGCCCAGACACAGGUUUUUCUGGUUAGGAUGUGCACAGGGG